rnacentral:rRNA from 1 species
UACGUAGGGUCCGAGCGUUGUCCGGAAUUACUGGGCGUAAAGAGCUCGUAGGUGGUUUGUCACGUUGUUCGUGAAAACUCACAGCUUAACUGUGGGCGUGCGGGCGAUACGGGCAGACUAGAGUACUGGCAGGGGAGACUGGAAUUCCUGGUGAUAGCGGUGGAAUGCGCAGAUAUCAGGAGGAACACCGGUGGCGAAGGCGGGUCUCUGGGCCUUACCUGACGCUGGAGACGCGAAAGCGUGGGGAGCGAACCGG